GAUUGAACGCUGGCGGCAUGCCUAACACAUGCAAGUCGAACGGUAACAGGCCCUUCGGGGUGCUGACGAGUGGCGGAUGGGUGAGUAAUACUUAGGAAUCUACCCUGUAGUGGGGGACAACCCGGGAACGUCGGGCUAAUACCGCAUACGCUCUACGGAGGAAAGCGGGGGACCGCAAGGCCUCGCGCUAUUGGAUGAGCCUAAGCCCGAUUAGCUAGUUGGUGGGGUAAUAGCCACCAAGGCAAUGAUCGGUAGCUGGUCUGAGGGGACGGACCAGCACACUGGGACUGAGACACGGCCCAGACUCCUACGGGAGGCAGCAGUGGGGAAGUAUUGGACAAUGGGCGAAAGCCUGAUCCAGCGAUGCCGCGUGUGUGAAGAA
rnacentral:rRNA from 1 species